rnacentral:ncRNA from 1 species
CUAAUCUUCUCCUGUCGCUGCCAAUUCAGCGAUCGGGUGUGGUAGCCCGGUUA